UACGGAGGGGGCUAGCGUUGUUCGGAAUUACUGGGCGUAAAGCGCGCGUAGGCGGACCUGCAAGUCGGGGGUGAAAUCCCCGGGCUCAACCCGGGAACUGCGUCCGAUACUGGAAGGCUUGAAUCCGGGAGAGGGAUGUGGAAUUCCAGGUGUAGCGGUGAAAUGCGUAGAUAUCGGGAGGAACACCAGUGGCGAAGGCGACUACCUGGCCUGUUUCUUGACGCUGAGGCGCGAAAGCUAGGGGAGCAAACGGGAU
rnacentral:rRNA from 1 species